AACGAACGCUGGCGGCGUGCCUAACACAUGCAAGUCGAACGGGAAAACCCGCAAGGGUGAGUACAGUGGCGCACGGGUGCGUAACACGUGGGUAAUCUGCCCAGAAGCCCGGAAUAACUCCCCGAAAGGGGUGCUAAUGCCGGAUGAGACCACGGGGACUUCGGUUCCUGGGGGAAAAGGUGGCCUCUGUAUACCAGCUAUCACUUCUGGCUGAGCCCGCGGCCCAUCAGCUAGUUGGCGGGGUAAUGGCCCACCAAGGCUACGACGGGUAGCGGGUCUGAGAGGACGAUCAGCCACACUGGAACUGAGACACGGUCCAGACUCCUACGGGAGGCAGCAGUGGGGAAUCUUGCGCAAUGGGCGAAAGCCUGACGCAGCAACGCCGCGUGUGUGAUGAAGGUCUUCGGAUCGUAAAGCACUGUCGGGAGGGACGAAUAAGGGCCGGGUGAACAAUCCGGUUCGACGACGGUACCUCCAGAGGAAGCACCGGCUAACUCUGUGCCAGCCGCCGCCGUAAGAC
rnacentral:rRNA from 1 species